GCCGAGGUGGUGAAACUGGCAGACACGUAUGCUUCAGGAGCAUAUGGCCUUACGGCCUUGGGGGUUCAAAUCCCCCCCCCGGCACCA
rnacentral:tRNA from 1 species